UUUAAGGGCAGAUGGUGGAUGCCUUGGGUGAUAGAGGCGAUGAAGGACGUACUAGACUGCGAUAAGCUACGGGGAGCUGUCAAGAAGCUUUGAUCCGUAGAUUUCCGAAUGGGGCAACCCAAUGCGUAGCAAUGCGCAUUACCUUUAAUGGAGCGAACCUAGCGAAGUGAAACAUCUCAGUAGCUAGAGGAAAAGAAAUCAAAUGAGAUUCCCUAAGUAGCGGCGAGCGAACGGGGAACAGGGCAAACCAGUAGCUUGCUACUGGGGUUGUGGACUGCAAUAUCCACUUGAAUAAUGAAGCAGAAGUAUUUGGAAAGAUACAUCACAGAGGGUGAUAGUCCCGUAUGCGAAACAUUAUUUAUAGGUAGCAGUAUCCAGAGUAGGUCAGGACACGUGAAAUCCGGACUGAAGCAGGGGAGACCACUCUCCAACCCUAAAUACUACU
rnacentral:ncRNA from 1 species